GCGGAGUGAGAGGAAGAGGCGGAGGGGCCGGGGCCGGCCGGGGCCCCGCGGCCUUGGCCGCGCUCAGAAGGAAAACUUAAACUGGGGGAAGUUGAAAUGAUUUAGCACUCAGUGGGCAGCUUGGGCUGGUCAAAUAGGAGAUUGGUAUGAUUCCUGAGUCUUACACUUGCUCUGCUUCUCUAAAGGGAAAUGAGACCCUUCCAAAUACUGGACUGCGGAAGGAAAGUGUUUCUGAAAUUAGAAUUUUACUGUAGGUACUUCUUUUUAAAAAGACCAAUCUUGAUAUGAAUGACGGGUCUUAAAAAAUAAAAUAGAGAGUAUUUGUACAUCCCAAAGGAGAUUUUUAGGAUCCUAAAAAUGUUACUUUACAGCAAAAAUAAUUUUAGACUUGCUAAACAUUCUGUUCCAGACCAUUGAUUUCUGUUAGUGCUUGAAGUCUUGCUGAGGCAAGCACCGUGAAGCCUUUGGUUACAGAAAGGGAUAUUGAUCUACAGCCGUAGCCUCUGCACCCAGCAAGACAUUUGCUGUCAAAGGGUUACAUAAAAGAGCCACAGGAGUUCCAAAGCAUCCAUAGCUGACUCUGAUUUCAGUGCAGAUACGGAAGUCUGUGGAGACUAUAUGGCCCACAGAUGGUACUGUAUUCUGAACAGAAUUAUUGCGUCAGAAGCUUAGAUCUAUCUGGCUGGAUUUCUUCUAGAAAGCUGAAGUAAUUUGGAAUGCAAUUGCCAGCUGAAGGGAGGCUUUGAAUGUUCUGAGGUGACAUAGGGUGAAGCCUUUUGGCUCUUCAUAAGUUGGUAGUUGGGGUUGUUAAGGGCUGUGAAUGUUCUUAUGGUAUAAAGUAACCAAAAUAAGCAUAAACACGUCUAAAUGGGUUCAAACAAUGUGUAUGAAAAGCUAACUGAUCGGGGAAGCUACAGUCUGCUUAAAUUCCAGCUAGUGAAUUAUUGAUGAAACUGGGAGCUUUGGGAUCCAACUAUGUUAAAAAAAAUUACAAAUUUCUUGUGAUUGGCAAAUACGUUUACGUGACAACAAAUUAAUAAUGAAAACAUGGUCAUGUUUAAACUUCAGAAGCAUGAACUUUGUGGCAGAACAGAAAUUUUCAAGGUCUCAUUAAUUUAGAGGAGGGGAGGAAAUCAAGACUUGUAGCUAGGCAAGCUAUCUGCAUAUUCUUCUCAGUUCAGACUUCAGUAUAUACUAUCCUGGAAAUCAGUUUUCACAGCUGCAAAGGAAAUUCCAUUGCCUUUCAGUUGCUGUGUUACGGCAUGAUUUUUGUUCCAAACUAAACUCCUUGGUUUCACUGCUUCUAAAACUAAGUAGCAGUGUUGUAUGCUACGACACUGUGGGAUAUCAAAAGUGUAGUGCCCACCACUGACAUCAUUACGGAGACGACCCAUUUAGCGGUAGUAACCCCAGAAGCUCCAUGUAAAUCCCGUUCCUUACCCAGUGGUGCUGCUGCAGUAGGUCUAGCCAGUGCUUGUGUUGGGAGCUGCAACUUGACAAAUGGCACCUUCUGCAGCUGAGCGUAAUUGUCAAACGUAGGGCAAAAAUAAAAGGCUUGCAAAGGCUACUUGAUAGUGAGUGAGAACAAACUGUAGUGUGCUUUAGGGCGCUGACAUGUUAUACAAGGGUUAUGUUAACAAGAGCUGGCAGUAUGUUUUUGAGCAGAAAAUGGAAAAGUAUGGAAGAGAAUGUUUUUUGAUGGAUUACCAGAAAUAGAAAUAACUGCGUCUCUAGUAAGGAGUCUGGUCUUCCUUCAGAGCUUAAUCCAGCUUGCUGUUCGGGUACAGAGCUGCAUAAUGGCAGUUCAAGUUGGAUUCCAUUGCUUUUCUUUUACUGAACAAUCCAACAUAUUGCCCCUGUAGCACUUUGUUUGGCACACAAAAGCCAGCAGUCAAACCAGGGUGUCUCAUUUGACAGUGCAGAACACUACCAUAAUUUGUUCCCUUUCAUUCUGCUCUGCACUUUCUCCUGAGUUUCCAGAACGUGUAGGUGUACUUGACAUAAGCAAGGAGUGUGUCUCUGUCUCUGAGCCUACGUACCAGGUGUAAUGUAGACAGAUUUCCCAAGGCUUUAUGACAUCUGAGGUUCAGGAUAAAAGGUAACUUACUGUUUAGCGUGUCCCGUGUAAGUCUUGUCUGCUUCUCCUCUUCCCCUCCAAAUGAGCACGUUUGCAGGUCAAAUAAAAGGCGUCUGGUUUGUGAUGCCUUAGGCAUGAAGAACCGCAUGGAGAAACUGAAGGAAAAUGGCACAGGCCCACAAACCAAAUCUUAGAGCUAGUAUUCUAAUUAUGCAUGAUUCACAAUGUCUAGUGUAAUGUAGUUAUUACCAGUAAAUGGAGAUAUGCAUUUAUACAUAAUGAAGCAAUAGGAAAUUAUAUACCAAUAGCUUGAACUUCCUGCUUUGAUUCUCAAAUUUUGGGAUUGUUUUGUUUUUGUUUUUAGAGAAUGUGCUGCCUCUGUAGAGAAGGAGGCAGAAUGUAUAGAUAGGGUCAGAAGCAUGGCACCAAAACUGUAAAUCAGGAACCAGGAUCAGCAGAACUCGCCUUCAUAACCUCUUGUCUGGUUCGUAUUAGUGCCCUGAGCAUGUAUAAAGCAGGGCAUGAACUAAGCAUGUUUAGGGGCGAGAUGAGGUUUCUCACCUGCUGCAGCUGUAGCAAAGAAAAGGGUGCAGAGUUUCUUACAUGGUGCAGGGGGGAGCAACUGGUGGAAAAAAGGGAACAACGGUAACAGAAGCAACAGACUCAAAAUGAGUGUAGUAUUUGACAGACGGUAGGUAAUAAGCUUGUCUGUGGUGAGAGAAAUUAUUUGGAGAAGACUGAAAUUAAUAAGCACAGUACAUAUAUUUCAGGUGUUGAAUAGCUUUUUAAUAGACAGUAUUUUCAGGUAACUCUCUAGCCACAUAGGCAGCUGUACUGAAGCAUACUGGUACCAGCCAGCAAUAAUGGCAUCUGCAGGAACGAACCUGAAAAUACUGGUAAUCUUGUAUAUUUUUUAAGUUCUUUGAAAAGGAGAUUUUUAAAAUCAGAAAAUGAGAUUUGAUCACUGAAGGUCUUUAUCUUCUGCAACACGGGUUGCAAUAUAAUCUUUUUUUCUUUAUUUCACUUAUUAAAUAAGAGGGAACUUGGGUGCCAUCUUUCUGUAAACUUUUAUUCUGCUUUCUGUAAUAUCUCCCAAGUCCUUUAGUGAAUAACGCAGUGGAUUUCUGCUGGUGGUUUGAAAAUAACGUAGAACGUGGCACAGUCCAUGUCACCAACGCUUUUCCUAUUUUGAAGUAGAAUACUAGCGUGUUACUGCAGAAUUCCAUACUUGUAGCUUAGCUUAAUUUUGCAGGUGGGCUUAACUUGUGCAGAAAACUUCUCUGUGUACAGGGGCUCGGUCCUCUUUCUGAAGCAGAAAGGGGUGGUGUCUCGGAGGAAGGAAUUGUGUCAAGUUAACUCCUGGUCAUGCUUUGUAGCCAACCAUCCAUAAAGCUCCAUGAUUUGGGUUUAGAAUGGGGCCAUGUUUUUCUCACGAAUGCUUUCUAGAUAUACAAGAAUUGCCAAAUAAAUAUAGGAAUAUUAUAAGAGAAGAUUUAACUAUUUUACUGUACCGAAGUUAGAUUAAAUGAAAUCCUUCGAGCCAACUUCUUCAAGACAAAACGGAAUUGGUAAAACAAGUUUAGCCCAGCAGUUAACUGUGACCACCUAAUGCUGAGUUGGGUAUUUUUUUAGAACAUUUCACAUGGUUUUAAACUGUUAUGUGUGUUUUCUUUUGUGUGAUGAGUAAGCACUUGGAUCCAUUGUUCGUGCUUAUCCUCUCCAAUAGAAAACCCGGGGAGUAAGCUACUUUAGGACUUCAGUGAAGUUAUCUUCCUUUUGAGAAACAUGAUCUAACAGCAAAGGAGAAGUAGUAAUUACAGAUUGUUUGAAAAUAGCUCAAUACUUACAAACCAGGUUGGAGAAGACUUCUUACACUGAACUUCUGAUGGCAUUACUCACGUGGGUUAGUGGAGACAAUUACCGGUGUCGCUAGGAUCUGUGUGCUCGCAUUGCACGUGUUUUACAUGGUAACAGUAAAAGAAUGUUUCCCUGCAAAUUCUGAUGUUUUUUCCAAAAGGCAGCUUGCUUUUAUAUCUAUGCAUCUUUGAGGAUUUCAAGAUAAGAUUUUAUUCUUUUGACGCUGUAAAGAGGAACUGUUUAAAAAUGAACUUGGAAACUCUGCACCUGUAUACAAAUUUUUUUAGCAAUAAAGCAGCACAGGCUGAGAAUG
ensembl:lncRNA